rnacentral:rRNA from 1 species
UACAGAGGGGGCAAGCGUUGUUCGGAAUUACUGGGCGUAAAGGGCGCGUAGGCGGCCUUCUAAGUCGAACGUGAAAUCCCCGGGCUCAACCCGGGAACUGCGUCCGAGACUGGAAGGCUUGAAUCCGGGAGAGGGAUGUGGAAUUCCAGGUGUAGCGGUGAAAUGCGUAGAUAUCGGGAGGAACGACCGGCGGCGAAGGCGGCUGCCUGGACCAGUCCUGACGCUGAGGCGCGAAAGCUAGGGGAGCAACAGG